GACGAAGGGGGCUAGCGUUGUUCGGAAUUACUGGGCGUAAAGCGCGUGUAGGCGGUUGUUCAAGUCAGGUGUGAAAGCCUUGAGCUCAACUCAAGAAAUGCACUUGAUACUGGAUGACUAGAGGACCGGAGAGGAUAGUGGAAUUCCCAGUGUAGUGGUGAAAUACGUAGAGAUUGGGAAGAACACCAGUGGCGAAGGCGGCUACCUGGACCAGCACUGACACUGAGGCACGAAAGCGUGGGGAGCAAACAGG
rnacentral:rRNA from 1 species